rnacentral:rRNA from 1 species
GAUGAACGCUGGCGGCGUGCCUAAUACAUGCAAGUCGAGCGAACGGACGAGAAGCUUGCUUCUCUGAUGUUAGCGGCGGACGGGUGAGUAACACGUGGAUAACCUACCUAUAAGACUGGGAUAACUUCGGGAAACCGGAGCUAAUACCGGAUAAUAUUUUGAACCGCAUGGUUCAAAAGUAAAAGACGGUCUUGCUGUCACUUAUAGAUGGAUCCGCGCUGCAUUAGCUAGUUGGUAAGGUAACGGCUUACCAAGGCAACGAUGCAUAGCCGACCUGAGAGGGUGAUCGGCCACACUGGAACUGAGACACGGUCCAGACUCCUACGGGAGGCAGCAGUAGGGAAUCUUCCGCAAUGGGCGAAAGCCUGACGGAGCAACGCCGCGUGAGUGAUGAAGGUCUUCGGAUCGUAAAACUCUGUUAUUAGGGAAGAACAUAUGUGUAAGUAACUGUGCACAUCUUGACGGUACCUAAUCAGAAAGCCACGGCUAACUACGUGCCAGCAGCCGCGGUAAUACGUAGGUGGCAAGCGUUAUCCGGAAUUAUUGGGCGUNAAGCGCGCGUAGGCGGUUUUUUAAGUCUGAUGUGAAAGCCCACGGCUCAACCGUGGAGGGUCAUUGGAAACUGGAAAACUUGAGUGCAGAAGAGGAAAGUGGAAUUCCAUGUGUAGCGGUGAAAUGCGCAGAGAUAUGGAGGAACACCAGUGGCGAAGGCGACUUUCUGGUCUGUAACUGACGCUGAUGUGCGAAAGCGUGGGGAUCAAACAGGAUUAGAUACCCUGGUAGUCCACGCCGUAAACGAUGAGUGCUAAGUGUUAGGGGGUUUCCGCCCCUUAGUGCUGCAGCUAACGCAUUAAGCACUCCGCCUGGGGAGUACGACCGCAAGGUUGAAACUCAAAGGAAUUGACGGGGACCCGCACAAGCGGUGGAGCAUGUGGUUUAAUUCGAAGCAACGCGAAGAACCUUACCAAAUCUUGACAUCCUUUGACAACUCUAGAGAUAGAGCCUUCCCCUUCGGGGGACAAAGUGACAGGUGGUGCAUGGUUGUCGUCAGCUCGUGUCGUGAGAUGUUGGGUUAAGUCCCGCAACGAGCGCAACCCUUAAGCUUAGUUGCCAUCAUUAAGUUGGGCACUCUAAGUUGACUGCCGGUGACAAACCGGAGGAAGGUGGGGAUGACGUCAAAUCAUCAUGCCCCUUAUGAUUUGGGCUACACACGUGCUACAAUGGACAAUACAAAGGGCAGCGAAACCGCGAGGUCAAGCAAAUCCCAUAAAGUUGUUCUCAGUUCGGAUUGUAGUCUGCAACUCGACUACAUGAAGCUGGAAUCGCUAGUAAUCGUAGAUCAGCAUGCUACGGUGAAUACGUUCCCGGGUCU